rnacentral:rRNA from 1 species
AGAGUUUGAUCCUGGCUCAGAAUCAACGCUGGCGGCGCGCUUAACACAUGCAAGUCGAACGGGAAAGUGGAGCAAUCCAUGAGUACAGUGGCGUACGGGUGAGUAACACGUGGAUGAUCUACCUCCUGGUGGGGAAUAACUUUGGGAAACCGAAGCUAAUACCGCAUAAGUCCGAAAGGAGAAAGGCGCAAGUCGCCGGGAGAGGAGUCCGCGGCCGAUUAGCUAGUUGGUGGGGUAAAGGCUCACCAAGGCAAAGAUCGGUAGCCGGCCUGAGAGGGCACACGGCCACACUGGCACUGAAACACGGGCCAGACUCCUACGGGAGGCAGCAGUGGGGAAUCUUGCACAAUGGGGGAAACCCUGAUGCAGCGACGCCGCGUGAGCGAUGAAGCCCUUCGGGGUGUAAAGCUCUUUCGACAGGAACGAUAAUGACGGUACCUGGAGAAGAAGCUGCGGCUAACUACGUGCCAGCAGCCGCGGUAAUACGUAGGCAGCAAGCGUUGUUCGGAGUUACUGGGCGUAAAGAGUAUGUAGGCGGUUGACCAAGUUUGGUGUGAAAUCUCCCGGCUUAACUGGGAGGGUGCGCCGAAUACUGGUUGACUGGAGCGUGGGAGAGGAAAGCGGAAUUCCUGGUGUAGCGGUGAAAUGCGUAGAGAUAUGGAGGAACACCGUGGCGAAGGCGACUUUCUGGUCUGUAACUGACACUGAGGCGCGAAAGCGUGGGGAGCAAACAGGAUUAGAUACCCUAGUAGUCC